rnacentral:rRNA from 1 species
UAGGGAAUAUUGCACAAUGGGGAAGACCCUGAUGCAGCGACGCCGCGUGAAGGAAGAAGUAUCUCGGUAUGUAAACUUCUAUCAGCAGGGAAGACAAUGACGGUACCUGACUAAGAAGCCCCGGCUAACUACGCUGCCAGCAGCCGCGGUAAUACGUAGGGGCAAGCGUUAUCCGGAUUUACUGGGUGUAAAGGGAGCGUAGACGGAUCUGCAAGUCUGGAGUGAAAGCCCGGGGCUCAACCCCAGGCCAGGCUGCUUUGGAAUUGACUGUAGGUCUAGAGUGCCGGAGAGGUAAGCGGAAUUCCUAGUGUAGCGGUGAAAUGCGUAGAUAUUAGGAGGAACACCAGUGGCGAAGGCGGCUUACUGGACGGUAACUGACGUUGAGGCUCGAAAGCGUGGGGAGCAAACAGGAUUAGAUACC